AACGGCGUCAAAUGUCAUUUUGUUCUCUGAGAACUAGUCAACGGACUGUAAUUUCGACAAAAAUGACACUAUCGAGAUGAUUCAAAAAGCAUUUUGCAACUUGCAUUUUGAAAAGGUAGAAAAGUUACUUUCAUAAGCAAUUAGAAGAAUGGAUUUAAGAGGUAAAACAAAGCUCCUCUGUAAUUAUAUAACAAUGGACAACAGCUGUAUAGACAGUAGAUGGAGAGAAAUCUUAUUUGCAUAGCUGAGGAAACGUAUAGCCUUAGCAAUAUAUACCUCAAAAUUAAGUAACAUCUUUCAACAGCAUUAGUUUAAUUAAAUAAUAGUUAAACUUGUUUAAAAAUUAUUUUAACUUUUCAUUAUUAAUAGGAAAAUUGUAAAGAUUUGAAAAAUUAUGAUAAUAAUAGGUAUAAAAGUACAUUAGUAUAUAAAAUUUAGUUUAUCUCGUAUGUUUUUGUCUUUUCAAAAUUCUGUAUAUGAUUAAGUUUUAAAAGACAAUAAGAGAUUAGAUAAUUUUGAUGAAAAUCAAUAUUCUAUUAUAUGAUACAUAAUAGAAUAAUAAAUGAUAAAAAGAUAGAAUUUGAGAUUCAAAGAAAUUUUAUUUUUAUUACGUGUUUCGAUAUAAUCUAUAAUACAAUAUAAAAUAAUACUUAAAAUAUACAAUAUGUAACAUAUAAUAUAAAAUGUGCAUCUUGGAUAUUGUAUAACUUUUUAUUGUAAUUUAGGAAAAUUAAAAAUACAAGGGAUAAUUAUAGUAGACAUUAAUUCAUGAUGGAAUGCUAAUUUUAAUCUGUAUUACAUCACACUGUAUUGCUUUAGAAGAACUCUAUCAUAUACAGAAUUUUAAAGGCACCAAUUUAAGAUAAUUGCAAAAUGUUUUAUUAUUUUUAGACAUCUUAGAGAUAUCUUUUAGAAGCUUGUGCGGCAUUAAUGUAUGUAUAUCAUACUUGUGGAUGUGAAUGAAUGUGUAUAUACAUAUAGAUUUGUGUAUUUUGUAUAUUUAUAUUAUUAUAUAUGAGACAAAUUAAAAAAAACUUUUAUUUUUACAUAGUAUAUUUAAAGGUGUGUUGUGUAUUUUAAAAGAUAUUAAAUGCAAGUAACGAUAGACAAAAUAUAUUUAAAUAUGUGUAUAUUUCUGUAUA